rnacentral:tRNA from 1 species
GUUUUUGUAGUUGAUUUACAACGGUAGUUUUUCAGAUUGCUGGUCUCGUAAGAGCAAGAACC